UACGUAGGUGGCAAGCGUUGUCCGGAAUUAUUGGGCGUAAAGCGCGCGCAGGCGGUCCUUUAAGUCUGAUGUGAAAGCCCACGGCUCAACCGUGGAGGGUCAUUGGAAACUGGGGGACUUGAGUGCAGAAGAGGAGAGUGGAAUUCCACGUGUAGCGGUGAAAUGAGUAGAGAUGUGGAGGAACACCAGUGGCGAAGGCGACUCUCUGGUCUGUAACUGACGCUGAGGCGCGAAAGCGUGGGGAGCAAACAGG
rnacentral:rRNA from 1 species